UGGUGAGACAUGCAGAUGCUGGGACAAAGAAUGAAGCAGACCUGUGAGCUUGCUCAGUGCCCUGACAAUGGAGACAGGAAAGUUGUUUUGGACAUAUGUUCCUGACCCACCUUUGCUUGCCUAUAUCCCAGAUUGGACAAGCUUCCUUGCUUCAAGCUUUUAGACUUUGUGGGACAGAAAACAUGGAGACUGGAAACCGACUUUAAAAACUUAAUAAAAAAGAGAAGGCCUUGGUACUUGCCAUUCUGUUGUAUGCUG
rnacentral:lncRNA from 1 species